UAUCUUGUUUGAGUGAAGAUCAAGAGUGUGUUUCGACCCCACCAUGCUUUCUGCCAGCAUUCAAUCAAUCUAACACUGAGUUUGAAUCUCCUAUCUUGGGGAAUCUCACAUCCCUUCUCUCCAAUCAAACCAGUUUCUUUUCAAUUUCAAAUAAUAAUUUGACUGGAAAAAUCCCUUUCUCAAUCUGCAAUGUAAGUAAUCUGCAAUUUUUGAUAUUGUCCAAUAACCAAUUGAGUGGCACCAUCCCAACAUGCCUUGGCAGUAGCAAUAUAUUGGGGGUUCUAGAUUUGGAAAGCAACAAAAUACAUGGUCCUAUUCCUCCUACAUUCAGAAGUGGAUGCAGGCUGCAUUCACUUAAACUCAAUAAAAACAUGCUUCAAGGACAAAUUCCAAGAUCAUUAGAUAACUGCAAGAAAUUGGAGGUGUUAGAUAUUGGGGACAACAUGUUGAAUGAUACCUUCCCAUAUUGGUUCGGAAGUCUCUCUGAGUUGCGUGUUCUUGUCAUGAGAUCUAACCACUUUCAGGGUCCCAUUGGACAACUCUCCCAUGUUGAUUCUCCUUUUCCAAACCUACAUGUUUUUGACAUCUCUGGCAAUGCUUUUACAGGGAAUUUACCAUUGCAAUAUAUUCUUCAUUGGAAGGCGAUGAUGAAUGAUGCGAACAAUUCCCAAUUGAGUUAUCUCAAUUAUGAUUAUUACUAUCGAGACACAAUUGCUAUUGUGUACAAGGGAACAUACUUUGAGAUGGAAAGUAUUGUAACCACCUUCACCUCUGUAGAUUUAUCCAACAACAGAUUUAAUGGAGGGAUUCCAGAUGCAAUGGGCGAUUUAAAAUCACUUAUGUUGCUCAACUUGUCAGGAAAUAGCCUCACGGGUCAAAUUCCAUCUUCGUUGGGAAAUCUAAGACAACUUGAAGCAUUGGAUCUUUCAAGAAACAAUCUUUCAGGACA